rnacentral:rRNA from 1 species
GACAGAGGGUGCAAACGUUGUUCGGAAUUACUGGGCGUAAAGCGCGUGUAGGUGGCGAGGCAAGUCGGGUGUGAAAGCCCUGGGCUCAACCCAGGAAGUGCACUCGAUACUGCCUAGCUAGAGUCCCGGAGAGGUUGGUGGAACUCUCGGUGUAGAGGUGAAAUUCGUAGAUAUCGAGAAGAACACCGGUGGCGAAGGCGGCCACUGGACGGUGACUGACACUGAGACGCGAAAGCGUGGGGAGCAAACAGG